UACAGAGGUCUCAAGCGUUGUUCGGAUUCAUUGGGCGUAAAGGGUGUGUAGGUGGCGCCGUAAGUCGGGUGUGAAAUUUCGGAGCUUAACUCCGAAACUGCAUUCGAUACUGCGGUGCUUGAGGACUGGAGAGGAGACUGGAAUUCAUGGUGUAGCAGUGAAAUGCGUAGAGAUCAUGAGGAAGACCAGUGGCGAAGGCGGGUCUCUGGACAGUUCCUGACACUGAGGCACGAAGGCCAGGGGAGCAAACGGG
rnacentral:rRNA from 1 species